rnacentral:rRNA from 1 species
UACGUCGGGGGCGAGCGUCGUCCGGAUUUACUGGGCGUAAAGCGCGUGUAGGCGGGAGAUUAAGUUGGGUGUGAAAGCCCGGGGCUCAACCCCGGGAUGCCGCCCAAGACUGGUCUCCUUGAGGACGGAAGAGGGGAGUGGAAUUCCUGGUGUAGCGGUGAAAUGCGUAGAGAUCAGGAGGAACACCCGUGGCGAAGGCGGCUCCCUGGUCCGUUUCUGACGCUGAGACGCGAAAGCGCGGGGAGCGAACGGG